rnacentral:rRNA from 1 species
AGUGAACGCUGGCGGUAGGCCUAACACAUGCAAGUCGAACGGCAGCACAGUAAGAGCUUGCUCUUACGGGUGGCGAGUGGCGGACGGGUGAGGAAUACAUCGGAAUCUACUUUUUCGUGGGGGAUAACGUAGGGAAACUUACGCUAAUACCGCAUACGACCUACGGGUGAAAGCAGGGGAUCUUCGGACCUUGCGCGAUUGAAUGAGCCGAUGUCGGAUUAGCUAGUUGGCGGGGUAAAGGCCCACCAAGGCGACGAUCCGUAGCUGGUCUGAGAGGAUGAUCAGCCACACUGGAACGGAGACACGGUCCAGACUCCUACGGGAGGCAGAAGUGGGGAAUAUUGGACAAUGGGCGAAAGCCUGAUCCAGCCAUACCGCGUGGGUGAAGAAGGCCUUCGGGUUGUAAAGCCCUUUUGUUGGGAAAGAAAAGCAGCAGGUUAAUACCCCGCUGUUCUGACGGUACCCAAAGAAUAAGCACCGGCUAACUUCGUG